GAAAGACAACCGGUUUAUAUCCCAGACACAUUCACACGGGGCCAAGAGCAGCUGCAGUCACAGAAUCCAGUCAUGGAUAGUUUUCUUCUCUCUCCUUACAGUUGGUCAGAACAGAAGCUAGGAGGUGAAAGAGG
rnacentral:lncRNA from 1 species